rnacentral:rRNA from 1 species
AUUGAACGCUGGCGGCAGGCCUAACACAUGCAAGUCGAACGAGUGGCGGACGGGUGAGUAAUGUCUGGGAAACUGCCUGAUGGAGGGGGAUAACUACUGGAAACUGUAGCUAAUACCGCAUACCAUCGGAUGUGCCCAGAUGGGAUUAGCUAGUUGGUGGGGUAAAGGCUCACCUAGGCGACGAUCCCUAGCUGGUCUGAGAGGAUGACCAGCCACACUGGAACUGAGACACGGUCCAGACGCCUACGGGAGGCAGCAGUGGGGAAUAUUGCACAAUGGGCGAAAGCCUGAUGCAGCCAGGCCGCGUGGAUGAAGAAGGCCUUCGGGUGAUAAAGUUCUUUCAGCGGGGAGGCGUUACCUGCAGAAGAAGCACCGGCUAACUACGUGCCAGCAGCCGCGGUAAUAC